CAACAGGGAUUGCCCCAGUAACGGCGAGUGAAGCGGCAACAGCUCAAAUUUGAAAUCUGGCCUUCUGGUCCGAAUUGUAAUUUGUAGAGGAUGCUUUUGGCGCGGUGCCUUCCGAGUUCCCUGGAACGGGACGCCAUAGAGGGUGAGAGCCCCGUCCGGUUGGAUGCCAAGCCUCUGUAAAGCUCCUUCGACGAGUCGAGUAGUUUGGGAAUGCUGCUCAAAAUGGGAGGUAUAUGUCUUCUAAAGCUAAAUACCGGCCAGAGACCGAUAGCGCACAAGUAGAGUGAUCGAAAGAUGAAAAGCACUUUGAAAAGAGGGUUAAAUAGUACGUGAAAUUGUUGAAAGGGAAGCGUUUGUGACCAGACUUGGGCCCGGUUAAUCAUCCAGCGUUCUCGCUGGUGCACUUUGCCGGCCCAGGCCAGCAUCAGUUUGUCGCGGGGGAUAAAGGCUUCGGGAACGUGGCUCCUCCGGGAGUGUUAUAGCCCGUUGCGUAAUACCCUGCGGUGGACUGAGGUUCGCGCUCUGCAAGGAUGCUGGCGUAAUGGUCAUCAGCGACCCGUCUUGAAACACGGACCAAGGAGUCGUCUUCGUAUGCGAGUGUUCGGGUGUAAAACCCCUGCGCGUAAUGAAAGUGAACGUAGGUGAGAGCUUCGGCGCACCACCGACCGAUCCUGAUGUUCUCGGAUGGAUUUGAGUAAGAGCAUACGGGGCCGGACCCGAAAGAAGGUGAACUAUGCCUGUAUAGGGUGAAGCCAGAGGAAACUCUGGUGGAGGCUCGCAGCGGUUCUGACGUGCAAAUCGAUCGUCAAAUAUGGGCAUGGGGGCGAAAGACUAAUCGAACCUUCUAGUAGCUGGUUUCCGCCGAAGUUUCCCUCAGGAUAGCAGUGUUGAACUCAGUUUUAUGAGGUAAAGCGAAUGAUUAGGGACUCGGGGGCGCUUUUUAGCCUUCAUCCAUUCUCAAACUUUAAAUAUGUAAGAAGCUCUUGUUACUUUAUUGAACG
rnacentral:rRNA from 1 species